rnacentral:lncRNA from 1 species
CGCUUGAAGCUCAUCACUCUAUGCGAAGUUCAAUUUUAACAACCUGGCUGUCUUCAUCACACAUGAAGAGGACAAAUGAAAAGGAGAAAAAAAAAUAGCCCGAUUUUCUAUGCCAGCCUGUCCUUGGACUUACCGAGUAGUUGAUGCUGGCCUAGACCUUUCAUCAAACCUCCUGAGGCUACAAGUAUGAGCAAGUAAAUUCAUCUGUAAUAAUCCUUAUAUUGAAGGAUGUCAAACAGGACUCACAGUUUUACUAGAGAAAAAGCAUUGCCUCCAGAUGGAAAGAGUCUAUCAGGGGGUUGUAAAUUUUCCUUAAAGAAUGAAUGCAUUUGGUAAGUAGAGACAAUUCUCUUUCACUUUGUAAGCUUAUUAUGGUUGAAGUGUGUGUGUGUGUGUGUGUGUGUGUGUGUGUGUGUGUGUGUGUGUAUGUAUGUAUGACAGUGAGUAGCUUUCGAGUCUCUGUUACACAUUCUGAGCUAUUUUGUUUCUAUAGUUUAUUUAUCCAUUUAUUGAUGCAUGCAAAUCCAGCAAUGUAAAGUAGUGUUUUCUGAGUUAUGAAGACAAAUCACUGCUGAUACUAUUUUCAGUCUCCUCCUGGCAGGAAAAUGCCCAUGUAAGUCUGCUUAGGACUUAAAGUACAAAGUAGUUCACUCUUAUGCUUCCCAUUCUACUAAGGAAGUAAGGAGGGAGCUGUGACCAUUCUUGAUGAGUGUGCUCAGGUUUGUAAGUUAUAUUAGACAUAAAAAUGUUUUCAAAGGGUGCUAUCCACUCAGGGGAACAGUCCUUAACUAUCAGUUACUUGCAUUCUAAUUUCCUAUUUGCCUUUGGGAAGCUCAGGCUUUGAAGCAGCGAAAAAGAAUAGGUGCUGCCAAUAAGUAGCUUACAAAGCUCACAGACAGCUGUUAUAUAAAACUUGAAAUGGUAAGGCCCAGUACAGGUUCUGCUUUCUCCAUUCUCUCCCACCUAUAAUAGUAUUCAACUGAGGCCAUAAAUGGGCACCUUUAUCAGCCCAAAGCGUUCAGAAUUAGAAAUAAAAAGACUCAGAUCAAAGAAUGUCAUGGUUAACAUGCUUAUUAACAAGACAAGAUGUAGAAUCAUCUAUGAGUCAAAUCUUCGCACACAUUUAGAUAAGGUUAAUUGAGGUGAGGAGAACCAUUCUAAAUUAUAUAUGAUAUCUUCCCAUGGGCUGUCAUUCCAGUGUGAACACAAAGGCAAAAGCAUGUGGAAAUCUCUCUGCUUCCUGACCAGGUACAAUGUCUCCUUGAUAUUCCUGCCUCCAUGGCUGCUCUGCCUUCUCUGCCAUGAUGGGCUGUAUCUACCCUUCAAUGAUAACUUAAAAUAAUUUCUUACUCCACA